rnacentral:rRNA from 1 species
GACGAACGCUGGCGGCGUGCUUAACACAUGCAAGUCGAACGGAAAGGCCCUGCUUUUGUGGGGUGCUCGAGUGGCGAACGGGUGAGUAACACGUGAGUAACCUGCCCUUGACUUUGGGAUAACUUCAGGAAACUGGGGCUAAUACCGGCUAGGAGCUCCUGCUGCAUGGUGGGGGUUGGAAAGUUUCGGCGGUUGGGGAUGGACUAGCGGCUUAUCAGCUUGUGGGUGGGGUAGUGGCUUACCAAGGCUUUGACGGGUAGCCGGCCUGAGUGGGUGAACGGCCACAGUGGGACUGAGAGACGGCCCAGACUCCUACGGGAGGCAGCAGGGGGGAAUAUUGCACAAUGGGCGGAAGCCUGAUGCAGCAACGCCGCGUGCGGGAUGACGGCCUUCGUGUUGUAAACCGCUUUCGCCUGUGACGAAGCGUGAGUGACGGUAAUGGGUAAAGAAGCACCGGCUAACUACGUG